CAUGACCUGAGCCGAAGGCAGUCGCUUAACCAACUGAGCCACCCAGGCGCCCCAGUUUCUCCAUCUUUAAAACAAGGGGACGGACUGGACCCCGGGCAACUGAAAGAGCCCCUACUUGGAGAGCCUGCCCGAGAAUGAAGGUGAUGUGGAGGACAGAAUGGUCCAGAGGCGGACAGGGCCAGCUUCCCGUUGGAGUCCGAAUUCCUGGAUCCAGGCACACCUGAAGCGAGAAACCCCCUCCAGCUUCCCAGUUACGUGGGCCAAUAAAUUCCCAGUUGUCUUCAACCGG